rnacentral:rRNA from 1 species
UUGAAAGGGAAACGAUUGAAGUCAGUCGUACCUUCGGGUAAUCAGCCCUUCGGGUGCGAUUCUGUGGAGCGUGAGGAGUUAAACGCCUUCAUGCCUGCAUAUUCGUGCACUUUGGGUGUACUUGCCCGUGUGGUAGGUUAACAUCAAUUUCGGAUGUCAUAAAAUGGCUGGAGGAAUGUAGCUUCGGUCUCGUACUGAAGUGUUAUAGCCUUUGGUAGAUGUGAUGACCGGGAUUGAGGAUUGCAACGAAUACCUUUUGGGCUAUCCGUCUGAUCUCUGAAAGUUGCUCUGGUGCCGAAAGCUUGCUUACGGUUAUCAAAGUUGACGUUCAAAAGGUUAGAACGGGUUAAAUUCGUUAAGGAUGUUGACGUA